rnacentral:rRNA from 1 species
UACGAAGGGGGCUAGCGUUGCUCGGAAUCACUGGGCGUAAAGCGCACGUAGGCGGAUUCUUAAGUCAGGUGUGAAACCUCCAGGCUCAACCUGGAGACGCCACCUGAUACUGCCGUGGCUAGAGUCCGGUAGAGGAGCGUAGAAUUCCUGGUGUAGCGGUGAAAUGCGCAGAUAUCAGGAGGAAUACCAGCGGCGAAGGCGGCGCUCUGGGCCGGGUACUGACGGCUGAGGAGCGAAAGCGUGGGGGAGCAAACAGG